CCUAAAAUUAGACACACAUGCCUGGAAGCCUAUGACCAUAAAAUACCUCUGAAGGAAUGGUGGUUCACAGAAUCAUCUAAUUUUUACUUUCCCCAUUUUUGCAGCUGAGUUUUUGGAUGCACCAGAAAUUAAACCAGCUGCCUGAAAUCGCAUGGUGAUGGGCAUGGAGGGUUUUGAAGCAGAGUUUAAGAAUGGUCUAAACCUCCAGUGGUGGCCACUGUCCCUUGGUGCUAGGUUUGGAGCACAGCCCACUUCAUUAAACCGAGGUGGGAAACCUGAGCUGAAAAGGGAGUCGAACAUAAUCUGUUGUCUGAUCUGAAAGGUGGUGCUGGGUUAAACUUGGGCUGUGAGCGGUUGAAUAGUACAGAAUGUUAUUUACAGCAUUUCUGAAGAGGGACUUCCCGGGCUACCAAAACAGCCCAGCCUGCAGCAGGUGCGUUUAACCCUGCCAGAGGCAAGGAUGCAAUUCACCUUCUCCAUUAUUCAGCAUUUCAGUAAUUCCCAGCAAAAACCGCGGAGUGCAGGGCGUUAAACGCCUGCAUAAUGCAUGGAGCCGCUGGAACGUGUCGGCCUGAUUAAGCUGAGCCUUUCUAAAACUUCGGGAGCGAUGCAGCACGGCCCGACCUGCGGUGAGCUGCGCUGAAGGGGUGGAGUGAGCACGGAGCCCGGCAGGGAGAGGGGCUUUGAGCGACCCCCGGGAGAGUCGGCGCCAGAAGGCUCCGUGCCUUGGUGUCUUGGGAGCACUUCUGGCUGCCCACAGUGCCACAUCACUGCCACCAACCUGCCCACACACCAGCAACCCUGGCAGCCAACUGGUUUCUGACCCCUCUUAUAAAAGCUGGGCAAAGUAUUACGGGAAACUUUUAACUGAGAUGAAAUAUCAGCAUUACAUGGACUGCAGAACUACGGAGGCAGAUGCUGGCACAGACCAAAACAAGAAGGACUGUUGGGGUGUGUGUGUGCCAUCAUCCCUUCUCUUCCUCCAUUCCCAGAGCAUGCACACACAGGCACACGGAGUCUACACGAACGUGCACAAACCUUCACACACGGGCAAACACGUACUCCCCCACCCCUCGGGGUGACACUUUUAUAUACUGGCAUUUUUGGCGGACUGCAGAUGUUUAGCAAUUAAUUAUCCCUUAAUUGAAGCAAAAAAGGAGCAGCAGGAGGAGAAAGCUUUAAUCCCAGAGAAGCAGCUAAAGGAUCCUGUUGACCAAGCAGUUUUCCCGAAGCCACAACAGAGGGAGACACCGGAUAUUACACAAGAUUUAUCAAAUUCGAAAAGAUAUCUUCUUAAUUGAAGUACUAGCUGUGUUUCCAUCACAAGGACUAUGCACCCUCUUGUUACUCCUAUCAGCAAUAUCUAGUGUAACAUGCUGUUUGGAAAUCCAGCGAUUCAUGCAGAUACGGCUGCUUUACAUAUCUACAGAGCAGAGAAUCUCCCCACCUAACGCUACAGGUCUUUUGUCAUUACUGGAGCUGCAACCAUUUGCAUCUUCAGCAGGAUCCCUCAGCCUGGAAUUGGGCACCUCUCAAGUGAGGUGUGAAAGGAAUGCACUUUUUAGACAUCAUUAUAAGUCCUCCAUUCUCAAAUCAAUUCACUAAAUAUUCUGAGUAAUGAAGACCAAAAGGAAAGCUGAGAAAGAGAGAAGACAUCCAAGAAUCUGCUGAUACAGGUGUUUAAUAUACUGGUACCAAAAUAAAAUCCUUUUGUCAUUCUCUCCAGAGACUUUUUUCUUUCCCCUUUCUCAGAAGUAUUUAAAUAGACAUAGAUUUGGCAAAGCAUUUUAGGGAAAAUUAGCUCAUCUCAGAGUGCUCUCAAGCUCGUGACUCACCGCAUGUGUGUGAAGUCAUUCAACUCAGUGCAAUCACGUUCUCAAAUGAGGCAGGAUCAGGACACCACAAACAGAGCCAUCACUGCAACAAGGACUUACAGCACAAGCUAAACCCACUCCUUGUUUGCCUUUCAGCAGGACAGCAACAGUCAGGCCUCCUA